rnacentral:misc_RNA from 1 species
GAUGAAGAACGCAGCGAAAUGCGAUAAGUAAUGUGAAUUGCAGAAUUCAGUGAAUCAUCGAAUCUUUGAACGCACCUUGCGCCCUUUGGCUAUUCCGAAGGGCAUGCCUGUUUGAGUAUCAUGAACACCUCAACUCUCAUGGUUUGCCAUGAUGAGCUUGGACUUUGGGGGUCUUGCCGGCCUAUGGGUCGGCUCCUCUCAAAUUAAUCAGCUUGCCAGUGUUUGGUGGCAUCACAGGUGUGAUAACUAUCUACGCUUGUGGUUUUCCAUCAGGUAACCUUCAGUGAUGGAGGUUCGCUGGGGCUCAUAAAUGUCUCUCCUCAGUGAGGACAGCUUUUUUGAACGUUUGAUCUCAAAUCAGGUAGGACUACCCGCUGAACUUAAGCAUAUCAAUAGCGGAGGA